GGCACUCCAGUACCUUCCUUUCCCAAUUUCGCCCCUCUUUCCCGCCUCCCCUGUUCGCCCCCUAGGCCUCCGCCUGCUCUCCAGUCGGAGUGCGUGGCUUCCCUCAGGAGCUCGAGCCGCACUGCGGACCUGUCUAGUGAACUGAUGAGGUGAGAGAAGUUCCCACUUCCCCUUAGACUUCCUGCCAGCCUGGCAGCCCGACGGCUCCAAGAUCCGGAUGGAGCGAGAGACAGCGGAACCCUUCCGAGGCUAGCUGGACCUCAGCUACUCACCUGCAAACUUACCUGCCUUCCAGAGGACCAGUCUGGAGCGUGAUGAACACUGGCGAGCCCCCUAGGUGGCAGCAAAGGCCCAAGAAAGUGGUCCCAGAAUGGACCCUCCCUUCCGCCCUAAAGCCAGAAAGGCCGGAAACGAUGGAGCCACCUCAAAAAGUAGAGAACUGAGGUCCAGAGCGGCAGGAACAUGCUCACAUCACGCAGUGAUUUGAACUCUGACUUUUCUGCCGCAGGGAAAGGGGGUACGAGGCAGAGAGAGGAGAGGCUCACAGGCAGAGACCAUAGGAAGUGACGGUUCAGAGCACAGAUUGACUCAGACCUGCCUUCCAGACCCUGUGACUGUGGGAGUCUCCUCACCCCUCUGAGGCUGUCUCCUUACCCGUAGAAGGGCACCUACUUCUUUUUUGUUUUGAAGAUAUUUUUAGGAUUAGCUGAGAUGCUGCAUGGAAAUCACUUAGUACAGUGCCUGGCAUGUAGUAAGUGCUCUCAGGAAAUAGCCACAUUAAUAAAUGUAAAGCAACAUUCCACAGGCCACCAAAACCA